GUGCCAGCAGCCGCGGUAAUACGUAGGGGGCAAGCGUUGUCCGGAAUUAUUGGGCGUAAAGCGCGCGCAGGCGGUCGGGUAAGUCUGAUGUUAAAGCCCGGGGCUCAACCCCGGUUCGCAUUGGAAACUGCUCGACUUGAGUGCAGAAGAGGAAAGCGGAAUUCCACGUGUAGCGGUGAAAUGCGUAGAGAUGUGGAGGAACACCAGUGGCGAAGGCGGCUUUCUGGUCUGUAACUGACGCUGAGGCGCGAAAGCGUGGGGAGCAAACAGGAUUAGAUACCCUGGUAGUCCACGCCGUAAACGAUGAGUGCUAGGUGUUGGGGGUUUCAACACCCUCAGUGCCGCASSUAACGCAAUAAGCACUCCGCCUGGGGAGUACGCUCGCAAGAGUGAAACUCAAAGGAAUUGACGG
rnacentral:rRNA from 1 species